UGGGGAAUUUUCCGCAAUGGGCGAAAGCCUGACGGAGCAAUGCCGCGUGGAGGUGGAAGGCCUACGGGUCGUCAACCUCUUUUCUCGGAGAAGAAACAAUGACGGUAUCUGAGGAAUAAGCAUCGGCUAACUCUGUGCCAGCAGCCGCGGUAAGACAGAGGAUGCAAGCGUUAUCCGGAAUGAUUGGGCGUAAAGCGUCUGUAGGUGGCUUUUCAAGUCCGCCGUCAAAUCCCAGGGCUCAACCCUGGACAGGCGGUGGAAACUACCAAGCUGGAGUACGGUAGGGGCAGAGGGAAUUUCCGGUGGAGCGGUGAAAUGCAUUGAGAUCGGAAAGAACACCAACGGCGAUAGCACUCUGCUGGGCCGACACUGACACUGAGAGACGAAAGCUAGGGGAGCAAAUGG
rnacentral:rRNA from 1 species